rnacentral:misc_RNA from 1 species
GUGAAUCAUCGAAUUUUUGAACGCAAAUUGCACUCUCCUCUAAGAGUAUGCCUGUUUUAGUGUCAGCCUAUAAAAAUCGACAUCGUUUCUGUUUCUCGUUGGCGUUCGUCGGAAAUUGGUGCAUCUUAAAUCCUUUUGAUUUAAUCUACUUAAAAUUUUCUUUUGUUUCCAUUAACGUUUCUAAGAUCUAUUUCUUUACACGUUUAAGGUAUCGAUUUUUACUAUACGUGACCGUCAUAUCAGAUCUCGUCCAUAAUCUUUCAUUUACUGACAUCAGACAGGUAAGAUUACCCACUGAA